rnacentral:rRNA from 1 species
AUUGUAGUCUGCAACCCGACUACAUGAAGCUGGAAUCGCUAGUAAUCGCGAAUCAGAAUGUCGCGGUGAAUACGUUCCCGGGUCUUGUACACACCGCCCGUCACACCAUGGGAGUCGGAUAUGCCCGAAGCCGGUGACCUAACCGCAAGGAAGGAGCCGUCGAAGGUGGAGCCGAUGACUGGGGUGAAGUCGUAACAAGGUAGC